rnacentral:rRNA from 1 species
ACGGGUGGUAAUGCCGGAUGCUCCAUCACACCGCAUGGUGUGUUGGGAAAGCCUUUGCGGCAUGGGAUGGGGUCGCGUCCUAUCAGCUUGAUGGCGGGGUAACGGCCCACCAUGGCUUCGACGGGUAGCCGGCCUGAGAGGGCGACCGGCCACAUUGGGACUGAGAUACGGCCCAGACUCCUACGGGAGGCAGCAGUGGGGAAUAUUGCACAAUGGGCGCAAGCCUGAUGCAGCGACGCCGCGUGAGGGAUGGAGGCCUUCGGGUUGUAAACCUCUUUUGUUAGGGAGCAAGGCACUUUGUGUUGAGUGUACCUUUCGAAUAAGCACCGGCUAACUACGUGCCAGCAGCCGCGGUAAUACGUAGGGUGCAAGCGUUAUCCGGAAUUAUUGGGCGUAAAGGGCUCGUAGGCGGUUCGUCGCGUCCGGUGUGAAAGUCCAUCGCUUAACGGUGGAUCCGCGCCGGGUACGGGCGGGCUUGAGUGCGGUAGGGGAGACUGGAAUUCCCGGUGUAACGGUGGAAUGUGUAGAUAUCGGG